rnacentral:rRNA from 1 species
UACGGGGGGAGCAAGCGUUGUUCGGAUUUACUGGGCGUAAAGGGCGCGUAGGCGGCCACCGCAAGUCGAUUGUGAAAUCUCCGGGCUUAACCCGGAAAGGUCAACCGAUACUGCGGGGCUAGAGUGCGGAAGGGGCAACUGGAAUUCUUGGUGUAGCGGUGAAAUGCGUAGAUAUCAGGAGGAACACCGGUGGCGAAGGCGCUCAUCUGGCCCAAUACUGACGCUGAAGCGCGAAAGCUAGGGGAGCAAACGGG